rnacentral:ncRNA from 1 species
GGAGAGCCCGCGCCACGCAGGGCUCCCGGACGAGGGGCGCCGUACCCGGUGUGCGACAAGACGGCCCGUG